UACGUAGGGGGCAAGCGUUAUCCGGAUUUACUGGGUGUAAAGGGAGCGUAGACGGCAUAGCAAGUCUGAAGUGAAAGCCCGUGGCUCAACCGCGGAACUGCUUUGGAAACUGUUAAGCUGGAGUACUGGAGAGGCAAGCGGAAUUCCUAGUGUAGCGGUGAAAUGCGUAAAUAUUAGGAGGAACACCAGUGGCGAAGGCGGCUUGCUGGACAGAGACUGACGUUGAGGCUCGAAAGCGUGGGGAGCAAACAGG
rnacentral:rRNA from 1 species